CCUUCGGGGUACUCGAGUGGCGAACGGGUGAGUAACACGUGGGUGAUCUGCCCUGCACUUUGGGAUAAGCCUGGGAAACUGGGUCUAAUACCGAAUAGGAUCAUGCUCUUCAUGGGGUGUGGUGGAAAGCUUUUGCGGUGUGGGAUGGGCCCGCGGCCUAUCAGCUUGUUGGUGGGGUAAUGGCCUACCAAGGCGACGACGGGUAGCCGGCCUGAGAGGGUGACCGGCCACACUGGGACUGAGAUACGGCCCAGACUCCUACGGGAGGCAGCAGUGGGGAAUAUUGCACAAUGGGCGCAAGCCUGAUGCAGCGACGCCGCGUGAGGGAUGACGGCCUUCGGGUUGUAAACCUCUUUCACCAGGGACGAAGCGCAAGUGACGGUACCUGGAGAAGAAGCACCGGCCAACUACGUGCCAGCAGCCGCGGUAAUACGUAGGGUGCGAGCGUUGUCCGGAAUUACUGGGCGUAAAGAGCUCGUAGGUGGUUUGUCGCGUUGUUCGUGAAAACUCACAACUCAAUUGUGGGCGUGCGGGCGAUACGGGCAGACUAGAGUACUGCAGGGGAGACUGGAAUUCCUGGUGUAGCGGUGGAAUGCGCAGAUAUCAGGAGGAACACCGGUGGCGAAGGCGGGUCUCUGGGCAGUAACUGACGCUGAGGAGCGAAAGCGUGGGGAGCGAACAGGAUUAGAUACCCUGGUAGUCCACGCCGUAAACGGUGGGUACUAGGUGUGGGUUCCUUCCUUGGGAUCCGUGCCGUAGCUAACGCAUUAAGUACCCCGCCUGGGGAGUACGGCCGCAAGGCUAAAACUCAAAGGAAUUGACGGGGGCCCGCACAAGCGGCGGAGCAUGUGGAUUAAUUCGAUGCAACGCGAAGAACCUUACCUGGGUUUGACAUGCACAGGACGCCGGCAGAGAUGUCGGUUCCCUUGUGGCCUGUGUGCAGGUGGUGCAUGGCUGUCGUCAGCUCGUGUCGUGAGAUGUUGGGUUAAGUCCCGCAACGAGCGCAACCCUUGUCCUAUGUUGCCAGCGGGUUAUGCCGGGGACUCGUAGGAGACUGCCGGGGUCAACUCGGAGGAAGGUGGGGAUGACGUCAAGUCAUCAUGCCCCUUAUGUCCAGGGCUUCACACAUGCUACAAUGGCCGGUACAAAGGGCUGCGAUGCCGUGAGGUGGAGCGAAUCCUUUCAAAGCCGGUCUCAGUUCGGAUCGGGGUCUGCAACUCGACCCCGUGAAGUCGGAGUCGCUAGUAAUCGCAGAUCAGCAACGCUGCGGUGAAUACGUUCCCGGGCCUUGUACACACCGCCCGUCACGUCAUGAAAGUCGGUAACACCCGAAGCCGGUGGCCUAAC
rnacentral:rRNA from 1 species